GGAGGUAGUGACAAUAAAUCACAAUGCGGGACUUGUAGUCUUGCAAUUGGAUUGAGAACAACGUAAAACUCUUAUCGAUAAGCCAUUGGAGGGCAAGUCUGGUGCCAGCAGCCGCGGUAAUUCCAGCUCCAAUAGCGUAUAUUAACGUUGUUGCAGUUAAAAAGCUCGUAGUUGAAGUGAGGGAGUGUGUGUUGUGAUCGAAUCGAUCGAGAGCAGUACAAGCUCCCCCUUCCAAUGGGUGUAUUGGGGUAUUCAUUUACUUCAUUACUCCUUUGGUCGUUUACUGUGAGAAAAUUAGAGUGUUCAAAGCGGGCGUUUGUUUGAAUAGAUUAGCAUGGAAUAAUGAUUGAAGGCUUUCGUGUUCGAUUUGAUUGGUUUGUUCAUGGAAGCAAGGUUAAAAGGAACAGUUGGGGGUAUUCAUAUUCACUAGUUAGAGGUGAAAUUCUCGGAUUUAUGGAAGAUGAACAAGUGCGAAAGCA
rnacentral:rRNA from 1 species